GGUUGACCUCGGAUCAGGUAGGAAUACCCGCUGAACUUAAGCAUAUCAAUAAGCGGAGGAAAAGAAACCAACAGGGAUUGCCUUAGUAACGGCGAGUGAAGCGGCAACAGCU
rnacentral:rRNA from 1 species